rnacentral:rRNA from 1 species
GUUGGGGGUGAAUCCCGGGGCUCAACCCCGGAACUGCCUCUAAACUGCCAGUCUAGAGUUCGAGAGAGGUGAGUGGAAUUCCAAAUGUAGAGGUGAAAUUCGUAGAUAUUUCGGAGGAACACCAGUGGCGAAGGCGGCUCACUGGCUCGAUACUGAC